rnacentral:rRNA from 1 species
AGAGUUUGAUCCUGGCUCAGAUUGAACGCUGGCGGCAUGCCUUACACAUGCAAGUCGAACGGCAGCACGGGAGCUUGCUCCUGGUGGCGAGUGGCGAACGGGUGAGUAAUAUAUCGGAACGUACCCUAGAGUGGGGGAUAACGUAGCGAAAGUUACGCUAAUACCGCAUACGAUCUACGGAUGAAAGUGGGGGAUCGCAAGACCUCAUGCUCAUGGAGCGGCCGAUAUCUGAUUAGCUAGUUGGUGGGGUAAAAGCUCACCAAGGCGACGAUCAGUAGCUGGUCUGAGAGGACGACCAACCACACUGGAACUGGGACACGGUCCAGACUCCUACGGGAGGCAGCAGUGGGGAAUUUUGGACAAUGGGCGCAAGCCUGAUCCAGCAAUGCCGCGUGAGUGAAGAAGGCCUUCGGGUUGUAAAGCUCUUUUGUCAGGGAAGAAACGGUUCGGGCUAAUAUCCAGGGCUAAUGACGGUACCUGAAGAAUAAGCACCGGCUAACUACGUGCCAGCAGCCGCGGUAAUACGUAGGGUGCAAGCGUUAAUCGGAAUUACUGGGCGUAAAGCGUGCGCAGGCGGUUGUGCAAGACAGAUGUGAAAUCCCCGGGCUCAACCUGGGAAUUGCAUUUGUGACUGCACGGCUAGAGUGUGUCAGAGGGGGGUAGAAUUCCACGUGUAGCAGUGAAAUGCGUAGAGAUGUGGAGGAAUACCGAUGGCGAAGGCAGCCCCCUGGGAUAACACUGACGCUCAUGCACGAAAGCGUGGGGAGCAAACAGGAUUAGAUACCCUGGUAGUCCACGCCCUAAACGAUGUCUACUAGUUGUCGGGUCUUAAUUGACUUGGUAACGCAGCUAACGCGUGAAGUAGACCGCCUGGGGAGUACGGUCGCAGGAUUAAAACUCAAAGGAAUUGACGGGGACCCGCACAAGCGGUGGAUGAUGUGGAUUAAUUCGAUGCAACGCGAAAAACCUUACCUACCCUUGACAUGUCUGGAAUCCUUGAGAGAUCAGGGAGUGCUCGAAAGAGAAUCAGAACACAGGUGCUGCAUGGCUGUCGUCAGCUCGUGUCGUGAGAUGUUGGGUUAAGUCCCGCAACGAGCGCAACCCUUGUCAUUAGUUGCUACGAAAGGGCACUCUAAGGAGACUGCCGGUGACAAACCGGAGGAAGGUGGGGAUGACGUCAAGUCCUCAUGGCCCUUAUGGGUAGGGCUUCACACGUCAUACAAUGGUACAUACAGAGGGCCGCCAACCCGCGAGGGGGAGCUAAUCCCAGAAAGUGUAUCGUAGUCCGGAUUGUAGUCUGCAACUCGACUACAUGAAGUUGGAAUCGCUAGUAAUCGCGGAUCAGCAUGUCGCGGUGAAUACGUUCCCGGGUCUUGUACACACCGCCCGUCACACCAUGGGAGCGGGUUUCACCAGAAGUGGGUAGCCUAACCGCAAGGAGGGCGCUCACCACGGUGGGAUUCGUGACUGGGGUGAAGUCGUAACAAGGUA